AGAGUUUGAUCCUGGCUCAGGAUGAACGCUGGCGGCGUGCCUAACACAUGCAAGUCGAACGAAGAGGCCCCUUCGGGGGUACUUCAGUGGCGGACGGGUGAGUAACACGUAGGUGACCUGCCCCGAAGCAGGGGAUAACGGCUCGAAAGGGCCGCUAAUACCCAAAAGGGUCGCGUGUCAAAGCGCGAUCAGAGUUACGGCGUUUCGGGAGGGGCCUGCGGCCCAUCAGCUAGUUGGUAGGGUAAUGGCCUACCAAGGCGACGACGGGUAGGGGACCUGAGAGGGUGACCCCCCACAUUGGCACUGACACACGGGCCAAACUCCUACGGGAGGCAGCAGUGAGGAAUAUUGCGCAAUGAGCGAAAGCUAGACGCAGCAACGCCGCGUGGACGAUGAAGGCCUUCGGGUCGUAAAGUCCUUUUUAGGGGGACGAGAGAGGACGGUACCUCUAGAAUAAGUCACGGCUAACUACAUGCCAGCAGCCGCGGUAAAACGUAGGUGGCAAGCGUUAUCCGGAUUCACUGGGCGUAAAGCGCCUGCAGGCGGUCCUGUAAGUGGGACGUGAAAUCUCUUGGCUUAACUGAGAGAGGUCGUUCCAUACUGCGGGACUGGAGGGCAGAAGAGGGAAGCGGAAUUCCCGGUGUAGUGGUGAAAUGCGUAGAUAUCGGGAGGAACACCAGUGGCGAAGGCGGCUUCCUGGCCUGCUCCUGACGCUAAGAGGCGAAAGCUAGGGGAGCGAACGGGAUUAGAAACCCCGGUAGUCCUAGCCGUAAACGAUGGAUACUAGGUGUCGGUGGUCCUAACCCCAUCGGUGCCGAAGCUAACGCGUUAAGUAUCCCGCCUGGGGACUACGGCCGCAAGGUUAAAACUCAAAGGAAUUGACGG
rnacentral:rRNA from 1 species